GUAGUCAAACUGCGCAGCCUCCGUUAGGACCGGUCAGUAACUGUUGGUGAAGCGUAGGGGAACGGUCCACUUUUCGAUGAGGAGGUGAUGCAGAAAUGACUUAAAUGAAGAUGGACUCUUCUAGGGUGUGGAUCACUUGGAAACAGACAGACGAGUAAUUGAAGAGACUAAGAUUCCUGCAGACUUCCUCACCAAGUUACACCACAUUUUUCAGUUUUACUUGAUAUGUAUAUAAUUGCAGUUAAUAAAACUUGGAUUUGAAA